rnacentral:rRNA from 1 species
UACGUAGGGUGCAAGCGUUGUCCGGAAUUAUUGGGCGUAAAGAGCUCGUAGGCGGUCUGUCACGUCGGCUGUGAAAACCCGGGGCUCAACCCCGGGCCUGCAGUCGAUACGGGCAGACUAGAGUGCGGUAGGGGAGACUGGAAUUCCUGGUGUAGCGGUGAAAUGCGCAGAUAUCAGGAGGAACACCGGUGGCGAAGGCGGGUCUCUGGGCAUUACCUGACGCUGAGGAGCGAAAGCAUGGGGAGCGAACAGG